AGAUUAAGUUAUUAAGGGCGCACGGUGGAUGCCUUGGCACUAGAAGCCGAUGAAGGACGUUACUAACGACGAUAUGCUUUGGGUAGCUGUAAGUAAGCGUUGAUCCAGAGAUUUCCGAAUGGGGGAACCCAACAUGAGUUAUGUCAUGUUAUCGACAUGUGAAUUCAUAGCAUGUCAGAAGGCAGACCCGGAGAACUGAAACAUCUUAGUACCCGGAGGAAGAGAAAGAAAAAUCGAUUCCCUGAGUAGCGGCGAGCGAAACGGGAAGAGCCCAAACCAACAAGCUUGCUUGUUGGGGUUGUAGGACACUCUAUACGGAGUUACAAAAGAACAUGUUAGACGAAUCAUCUGGAAAGAUGAAUCAAAGAAGGUAAUAAUCCUGUAGUCGAAAACAUAUUCUCUCUUGAGUGGAUCCUGAGUACGACGGAGCACGUGAAAUUCCGUCGGAAUCUGGGAGGACCAUCUCCUAAGGCUAAAUACUCUCUAGUGACCGAUAGUGAACCAGUACCGUGAGGGAAAGGUGAAAAGUACCCCGGAAGGGGAGUGAAAGAGAACUUGAAACCGUGUGCUUACAAGUAGUCAGAGCCCGUUAAUGGGUGAUGGCGUGCCUUUUGUAGAAUGAACCGGCGAGUUACGAUCUGAUGCAAGGUUAAGCAGCAAAUGUGGAGCCGCAGCGAAAGCGAGUCUGAAUAGGGCGUUGAGUAUUUGGUCGUAGACCCGAAACCAGGUGAUCUACCCUUGGUCAGGUUGAAGUUCAGGUAACACUGAAUGGAGGACCGAACCGACUUACGUUGAAAAGUGAGCGGAUGAACUGAGGGUAGCGGAGAAAUUCCAAUCGAACUUGGAGAUAGCUGGUUCUCUCCGAAAUAGCUUUAGGGCUAGCCUCAAGUGAUGAUUAUUGGAGGUAGAGCACUGUUUGGACGAGGGGCCCCUCUCGGGUUACCGAAUUCAGACAAACUCCGAAUGCCAAUUAAUUUAACUUGGGAGUCAGAACAUGGGUGAUAAGGUCCGUGUUCGAAAGGGAAACAGCCCAGACCACCAGCUAAGGUCCCAAAAUAUAUGUUAAGUGGAAAAGGAUGUGGCGUUGCCCAGACAACUAGGAUGUUGGCUUAGAAGCAGCCAUCAUUUAAAGAGUGCGUAAUAGCUCACUAGUCGAGUGACACUGCGCCGAAAAUGUAACGGGGCUAAACAUAUUACCGAAGCUGUGGAUUGUCCUUUGGACAAUGGUAGGAGAGCGUUCUAAGGGCGUCGAAGCAUGAUCGCAAGGACAUGUGGAGCACUUAGAAGUGAGAAUGCCGGUGUGAGUAGCGAAAGACGGGUGAGAAUCCCGUCCACCGAUUGACUAAGGUUUCCAGAGGAAGGCUCGUCCGCUCUGGGUUAGUCGGGUCCUAAGCUGAGGCCGACAGGCGUAGGCGAUGGAUAACAGGUUGAUAUUCCUGUACCACCUAGUAUCGUUUUAAUCGAUGGGGGGACGCAGUAGGAUAGGCGAAGCGUGCUGUUGGAGUGCACGUCCAAGCAGUAAGGCUGAGUGUUAGGCAAAUCCGGCACUCAUAAGGCUGAGCUGUGAUGGGGAGAGGAAAUUGUUUCCUCGAGUCGUUGAUUUCACACUGCCGAGAAAAGCCUCUAGAUAGAUAACAGGUGCCCGUACCGCAAACCGACACAGGUAGUCAAGAUGAGAAUUCUAAGGUGAGCGAGCGAACUCUCGUUAAGGAACUCGGCAAAAUGACCCCGUAACUUCGGGAGAAGGGGUGCUCUUUAGGGUUCACGCCCAGAAGAGCCGCAGUGAAUAGGCCCAAGCGACUGUUUAUCAAAAACACAGGUCUCUGCUAAACCGUAAGGUGAUGUAUAGGGGCUGACGCCUGCCCGGUGCUGGAAGGUUAAGAGGAGUGGUUAGCUUCUGCGAAGCUACGAAUCGAAGCCCCAGUAAACGGCGGCCGUAACUAUAACGGUCCUAAGGUAGCGAAAUUCUUGUUCGGGUAAGUUCCGACCCGCACGAAAGGCGUAACGAUUUGGGCACUGUCUCAACGAGAGACUCGGUGAAAUCAUAGUACCUGUGAAGAUGCAGGUUACCCGCGACAGGACGGAAAGACCCCGUGGAGCUUUACUGUAGCCUGAUAUUGAAAUUCGGCACAGCUUGUACAGGAUAGGUAGGAGCCUUUGAAACGUGAGCGCUAGCUUACGUGGAGGCGUUGGUGGGAUACUACCCUAGCUGUGUUGGCUUUCUAACCCGCACCACUUAUCGUGGUGGGAGACAGUGUCAGGCGGGCAGUUUGACUGGGGCGGUCGCCUCCUAAAAGGUAACGGAGGCGCUCAAAGGUUCCCUCAGAAUGGUUGGAAAUCAUUCAUAGAGUGUAAAGGCAUAAGGGAGCUUGACUGCGAGACCUACAAGUCGAGCAGGGUCGAAAGACGGACUUAGUGAUCCGGUGGUUCCGCAUGGAAGGGCCAUCGCUCAACGGAUAAAAGCUACCCCGGGGAUAACAGGCUUAUCUCCCCCAAGAGUUCACAUCGACGGGGAGGUUUGGCACCUCGAUGUCGGCUCAUCGCAUCCUGGGGCUGUAGUCGGUCCCAAGGGUUGGGCUGUUCGCCCAUUAAAGCGGUACGCGAGCUGGGUUCAGAACGUCGUGAGACAGUUCGGUCCCUAUCCGUCGUGGGCGUAGGAAAUUUGAGAGGAGCUGUCCUUAGUACGAGAGGACCGGGAUGGACAUACCUCUGGUGUACCAGUUGUCGUGCCAACGGCAUAGCUGGGUAGCUAUGUAUGGACGGGAUAAGUGCUGAAAGCAUCUAAGCAUGAAGCCCCCCUCAAGAUGAGAUUUCCCAACUUCGGUUAUAAGAUCCCUCGAAGAUGACGAGGUUAAUAGGUUCGAGGUGGAAGCGUGGUGACACGUGGAGCUGACGAAUACUAAUCGAUCGAAGACUUAAUCAAUUUUUAAA
rnacentral:rRNA from 1 species